rnacentral:rRNA from 1 species
AAUGAACGCUGGCGGCAUGCCUAACACAUGCAAGUCGAACGAAGGCUUCGGCCUUAGUGGCGCACGGGUGCGUACCGCGUGGGAAUCUGCCCUUGGGUUCGGAAUAACAGUUAGAAUUGACGCCUAAUACCGGCUGAUUUCUUAAAACCAAAGAUUUAUCGCCCAAGGAUGAGCCCGCGUAGGAUUAGCUAGUUGGUGGGGUAAAGGCCUACCAAGGCGACGAUCCUUAGCUGGUCUGAGAGGAUGAUCAGCCACACUGGGACUGAGACACGGCCCAGACUCCUACGGGAGGCAGCAGUGGGGAAUAUUGGACAAUGGGCGAAAGCCUGAUCCAGCAAUGCCGCGUGAGUGAUGAAGGCCUUAGGGUUGUAAAGCUCUUUUACCCGGGAUGAUAAUGACAGUACCGGGAGAAUAAGCUCCGGCUAACUUCGUG